GCUGGCUUAGUAUAUUUAGUACAUAAGAUUGUAAAUCUUGGGGUAUAAUUUAGUCAGAA
rnacentral:tRNA from 1 species